UACCAGCACCCCGAGUGGUCGGGACGAUUAUUGGGCCUAAAGCAUCCGUAGCCGGUACUGCAAGUCUUCCGUUAAAUCCACCUGCUUAACAGAUGGGCUGCGGAGGAUACUAUGGAGCUAGGAGGCGGGAGAGGCAAGCGGUACUUAGUGGGUAGGGGUAAAAUCCGUUGAUCCAUUGAAGACCACCAGUGGCGAAGGCGGACUUGCCAUGAACGCACUCGACGGUGAGGGAUGAAAGCGGGGGAGCAAACCGGG
rnacentral:rRNA from 1 species